rnacentral:rRNA from 1 species
UAAGGGCGCACGGUGGAUGCCUUGGCACUAGAAGCCGAUGAAGGACGUUACUAACGACGAUAUGCUUUGGGGAGCUGUAAGUAAGCUUUGAUCCAGAGAUUUCCGAAUGGGGAAACCCAGCAUGAGUUAUGUCAUGUUAUCGAUAUGUGAAUACAUAGCAUAUCAGAAGGCACACCCGGAGAACUGAAACAUCUUAGUACCCGGAGGAAGAGAAAGAAAAUUCGAUUCCCUUAGUAGCGGCGAGCGAAACGGGAAGAGCCCAAACCAACAAGCUUGCUUGUUGGGGUUGUAGGACACUCUAUACGGAGUUACAAAGGACGACAUUAGACGAAUCAUCUGGAAAGAUGAAUCAA